AGUGAACGCUGGCGGUAGGCCUAACACAUGCAAGUCGAACGGCAGCACAGUAAGAGCUAGCUCUUACGGGUGGCGAGUGGCGGACGGGUGAGGAAUACAUCGGAAUCUACUUUUUCGUGGGGGAUAACGUAGGGAAACUUACGCUAAUACCGCAUACGACCUACGGGUGAAAGCAGGGGAUCUUCGGACCUUGCGCGAUUGAAUGAGCCGAUGUCGGAUUAGCUAGUUGGCGGGGUAAAGGCCCACCAAGGCGACGAUCCGUAGCUGGUCUGAGAGGAUGAUCAGCCACACUGGAACUGAGACACGGUCCAGACUCCUACGGGAGGCAGCAGUGGGGAAUAUUUGACAAUGGGCGCAAGCCUGAUCCAGCCAUACCGCGUGGGUGAAGAAGGCCUUCGGGUUGUAAAGCCCUUUUGUUGGGAAAGAAAAGCAGCAGGUUAAUACCCCGCUGUUCUGACGGUACCCAAAGAAUAAGCACCGGCUAACUUCGUG
rnacentral:rRNA from 1 species